ensembl:lncRNA
GUGAAGUGUUCAGUCGUCUGCAGGGUUGCGGGGUCGUGCUGGGGGUUUCCCGAGUAGCGUGGAUCCCGUUCUGCCGUCAGGCAAUGCCGCAGGUGCAGCCAAGGGGCGGCGUCUUUGCUCACGUCGGGAUUGUCUGUAAAACACACAGCAAAGGUUAGCACAUUCACUGAGAGCCUCCUCUGCCUUGCGAGUGGAGUAUUGCCCCUUUUAUACUCUCCCCUCAGCUGCUGGAUGGUGGAAUUUUUCCAUGCCACGCACCAUUCAGCAGCCAUGUGUAUGUCAGUGGCCCCGUCCCACUGCCACGCGCUCUCCGGCUGUCCAAAACAUUGGUGUUGCUGAAGCAGAACUGUCUCUUCAGUACUACAGCGGCAGUCGCGGGAGGAGCGAUCUUUGUCUCUUGUGGCCUGUUGCCACAACAGAUUUACUCUUUCUAAUUCUUGAAAGGGGAUUUGAUGAAUAUUUGACAUAUUUUUACGCUUUAACUGAUAAAUUAGACGAGACAAUAAGCUGAUAUUGACUAAUUGUCUCGUGAAACCAAACCCAGUCCACAGAUUUUAUAAUAACUGUCUGUCCAUCAUCUGUGUUUCAGACUUCAAACCUGUUCCACCCAAACCGGUAAGUGAACCUUUAUGAUCCAGAAAUGAUGUUUAAAUCCAGUACAUUAUUGACUCGCAGUGUUUACUUCACUUUCUGAUGAUUUGAUGUUUUACAGCCUCUGAAGGAGAUUCUUCCUCCAACAACUCCUAAAGUGGACUGUGUGUGUUCCCGCUGCACUGAGAGAGUAAGACGUGAUGUUGUUUAAGGUGUAAUAUGGAAUAAAGAUCUGUGUGUGUUCCCGCUGCACUGAGAGAGUAAGACAUGAUGUUGUUUACGGUGUAAUAUGAAUAAAGAUCUGUGUGUGUUCCCGCUGCACUGAGAGAGUAAGACGUGAUGUUGUUUACGGUGUGAUAUGGAAUAAAGAUCUGUGUGUGUUCCCGCUGCACUGAGAGAGUAAGACAUGAUGUUGUUUACGGUGUAAUAUGGAAUAAAGAUCUGUGUGUGUUCCCGCUGCACUGAGAGAGUAAGACGUGAUGUUGUUUACGGUGUAAUAUGGAAUAAAGAUCUGUGUGUGGAGUGAAAAUCCAGCAGAAAAGCCUGCGCUAACAUUAAAUCUCAUCUCAGAGCUGAUCCUGUUUCUUUCUGUUUCUCUAGGAGAGAGGAGGAGAGGGAGAUGAGUACCACACACACACAUUAUCAUAACAGAUUGGACUAAAGUGUAAAAGAGCAGGAACCGAGAUCUUCAGAUGUGAUCCGUGUUGAACAUCCAUCCAUCCAUCUUCUACACCGCUUUGUCCUUUUCAGGAUCACGGGGAACCUGGAGCCAAUCCCAGGGAGCAUG